CCCAGGUGUACUAAAAAAAUGUACAAUAUCAAUGGAAACAUACUUCAAAUAUAUUUUUCUCAUAUGAAUUCAUAGUUAGUUAUGCAAAUAAUAGUUUCACACCUAUAUGUUGUGUUUGAUAUCACAACACAGUUGUUUGAUAUCCACGAGAGCAGAAUAUUUCUGUGAAUUUUUUUAAAACAAAAGAUCAAAAGGUUCAACAAUAAAGACCAUUUUUCAGGAGAAUAGACAUACUUACCAAGGGUGCCAAUAUUAGUGGAGGGCACUGUAUGUUAAACAUCUUAGGGCUCUAGUUUGAGUUUAUAGAUCUAAGCUGUGUUUAGUGAGUGAUUCAGUGUGGUGCCUUUACUUUAAAGCAUUAAAAUAUACAAGGUGGUUUUUUUUCUCCAUUCAUCUGUUUUUUUUUUUUUGUUUUUUGCAAUUUUCCAAAAAAGCCAUUUUCUCAUAAUUUAGUCAUAGCCAUCUACUGUAGCUAGAUUUCUUCCAGGAGGGUAAAAGGCUAACACGAUCUAGGCUUCCUCUGAUUUCAUGGGACAAGAGUGCUAACAGACCUGCUCUUUACAUAAAGCUAGCAUUUCUCUGAUCAACAGAGGAAAGUAUACGUAGGCCAGCCUUCCUGACAGUUACGUCCUCUCGGAUUCCUGGCCAAGUGAUGGAAACAGAAUGCUUGCAUUAAACAGUGACUGUGUGCGAGUGUGUGUUCUAGUUUCUCCAUGACUGUUUUGAUUGGCUGGCACCCACUUUUUCCAUCUCAUAACGUUCAGCAGAACAUGCGGUUGAUGCUAACACACAAGCAUUCCCAUUUUACUUUUACAGAUGUGAAAGUAAAAAAGUUGGAUUAGCGUUGAAGCAAAUCUGCAACGCAUGGAACAAGAGAGACUGACAGACAUAUACUAUAUUUUAAUACUAAUAUAUUCGUUUUUAUUUACAUGCUUUACCGUAUUUGUAAACCUGUUUAAAUGUAUUCUCGUUUUGCAUACAAAUAUAAUGUCUCUAAUAGCUGUGUGCACUGUUUGAAGAUUAAAACCCUUAAAGGUUCCAAGUAGAACCCUACAACAAAUCAUGCUAUCGAAAAGGGUUCCAAGUAGAACCCUGUUUUGGAAGAACCCAUUACUAUCCAGUGAAACAUGAUAGUUUCUCUUGUUGUAAACAAUGUUUUUCUUUAAUCCAAGAACCAUUUAGCUUGUGAGUCAAACAUUUAGCUUGUGCCACUUCAAGGGUUCUACAAAGGUUCUUUAAGGGUUCAAUUGGUAAUGGCCAUUACAAAACUACUUUUAUGUAUAGUGUAUAGAAAAAAUAGCAUAUUAGAAUGUGCAUGUUGCUAUAAACCUGUGCUACUGUCACUGAGCUGCUGUUAUAGAGGAUUUAAUCAACACCUUCUGACCAAUCAGAGUCUAGAAUUCAGAAGCACUGUGGUGUCACUAUAUACACUUGACUUAACUGCAAAAAGUAUGUGCAUCCCUGACUAUCACACCUGUAUGUGCUUGCUGAACAUCCCAUUCCAGAUUUAUUCCCCCUUUUACUGUUAUAAUGCACGCUACUCUUCUGGGAAGGCUUUCCACUAGAUUUUGGGGUGCAGCUAUGUGGAUUUGUUUUCAUUCAACUACAAGAGCAUUAGUGAGGUUGAGGUCAGGCACUGAUGUUUGGUGAGGAGACUCCAGUUCCUGUUCAUCCCAAAGGUGUUCAGUGGGGUUGAGGUCAGGGCUCUGUACAGGACACUAGAGUUCUUCCACCUUCUUCCAACCUUCACACACCACGUCUACGCGGAGCUCCCUUUGUACGCAGGGGUGUCGUCAUGCUGGAACAUGUUCGGGCCUUUUAGUUCCAGUGAAGGGAAAUUAUAACGCUACAGCAUACAGUGACGUUCUAUACAACUGUGUGCUUCUGACUUUGUGGCAACAGUUUGGGGAAGAACCACAUAUGGGUGUGAUGGUCAGGGGUGCACAUAGUUUUGGCCAUAUAGUGUAACUUGUUGGUUCUGGUGAUAUUUAAUAAUAACUAGACCAUUCUUCAUGAAUUUUAUGGAAACUGUUUAUGGAUUACACUGGGUUUUUUUCCAGCAGUGUCUAUCUGUCCUAGGUAAACUAACCCUAAAUUAUACUCUAGGUUUACUAUAAUCUAUAAUAUAAGGACAAAUGAAUGUGUCAUUAGUGAAACAUUCAAUAAAAGACCAUUUUUUGCUGUUUAUCUUUAUUUUUAUUCAUAUAAUAUGCUGUUUUGAUAUUUUGUGUGUGUCAAGUUUCUCACUUAGUACAAAAAUAAACGCUGCGUGUAAGGGGUG
ensembl:lncRNA